UGCAUACGAGACCAUGGGGACAUAGAAUCC
rnacentral:piRNA from 1 species